rnacentral:rRNA from 1 species
GACGAACCGAGCGAACGUUGUUCGGAAUCACUGGGCUUAAAGGGCGCGUAGGCGGGCUGCCGCGUCCGGGGUGAAAUCCUCCGGCUCAACCGGGGAAGGGCCUCGGAUACGGGCGGCCUCGAGGGGGGUAGGGGCGUGCGGAACUGUGGGUGGAGCGGUGAAAUGCGUUGAGAUCCACAGGAACUCCGGUGGCGAAGGCGGCACGCUGGACCCCUUCUGACGCUGAGGCGCGAAAGCCAGGGGAGCAAACGGG